rnacentral:rRNA from 1 species
GACGAACGCUGGCGGCGUGCCUAAUACAUGCAAGUCGAACGCUUCUUUCCUCCCGAGUGCUUGCACUCAAUUGGAAAGAGGAGUGGCGGACGGGUGAGUAACACGUGGGUAACCUACCCAUCAGAGGGGGAUAACACUUGGAAACAGGUGCUAAUACCACAUAACAGUUUAUGCCGCAUGGCAUAAGAGUGAAAGGCGCUUUCGGGUGUCGCUGAUGGAUGGACCCGCGGUGCAUUAGCUAGUUGGUGAGGUAACGGCUCACCAAGGCCACGAUGCAUAGCCGACCUGAGAGGGUGAUCGGCCACACUGGGACUGAGACACGGCCCAGACUCCUACGGGAGGCAGCAGUAGGGAAUCUUCGGCAAUGGACGAAAGUCUGACCGAGCAACGCCGCGUGAGUGAAGAAGGUUUUCGGAUCGUAAAACUCUGUUGUUAGAGAAGAACAAGGACGUUAGUAACUGAACGUCCCCUGACGGUAUCUAACCAGAAAGCCACGGCUAACUACGUG